rnacentral:rRNA from 1 species
GAUGAACGCUGGCGGCGUGCCUAACACAUGCAAGUCGAGCGGCAGCGCGAGUAGUUUACUACUCGGCGGCGAGCGGCGAACGGCUGAGUAACGCGUGGGAAUUUGCCCCAAAGUGAGGAAUAACUGCCCGAAAGGGUGGCUAAUGCCGCAUAUGAUCUUCGGAUUAAAGGAUUUAUCCGCUUUGGGAGAAGCCCGCGUCGGAUUAGGUAGUUGGUGAGGUAAUGGCUCACCAAGCCGACGAUCCGUAGCUGGUCUGAGAGGAUGACCAGCCAGACUGGAACUGAGACACGGUCCAGACUCCUACGGGAGGCAGCAGUGAGGAAUCUUCCACAAUGGGCGAAAGCCUGAUGGAGCAACGCCGCGUGCAGGAUGAAGGCCUUCGGGUUGUAAACUGCUUUUAUAAGUGAGGAAUAUGACGGUAGCUUAUGAAUAAGGAUCGGCUAACUACGUGCCAGCAGCCGCGGUCAUACGUAGGAUCCGAGCGUUAUCCGGAGUGACUGGGCGUAAAGAGUUGCGUAGGCGGUUUGUUAAGUGAAUAGUGAAAUCUGGUGGCUCAACCAUACAGGCUAUUAUUCAAACUGGCAAACUCGAGAGUGGUAGAGGUCACUGGAAUUUCUUGUGUAGGAGUGAAAUCCGUAGAUAUAAGAAGGAACACCGAUGGCGUAGGCAGGUGACUGGACCAUUUCUGACGCUAAGGCACGAAAGCGUGGGGAGCGAACCGG